GCGCUUGCACCUGCUUACUUUACACACGCAGCAUUAAAACUUUCGCGUUUUGACCACGUACUUUCAGACCCAAACGGCGUUCCAUACGUUUUGACCACGUGCUUUAAGACCCAAACGGCGUUCCAUAUCGUGACGACAGAAAAUCCCAGGCGGUAACGUCUAUCAUUCAAUGUAACUCAAAAUGUCUGUUGCCUUUGUACCGAAAAGACAUAGAGGAAAAGCUCAGAUCAACCAAGAAACCAUCCAAAUAUUGCAUCAGAGUACAUGCAAAAAGGACGAGCAAUGGAAUGUGUAGUCAGUUCAACGUCAUCCAUUUAUUUUCCCUAGAGUUGAUGUCAACCCUUCUCCUGGAGCUACUGGGUUUGCAGGUUUUUAACCAGCUCUAUACGAACACACCUCAUUCAGAGUGGCGUAGCUGUCUAAGGCACUGCAGUCCAAGUUCGAAUCCAGGCUGUACCUGGGAACCAUAGCAGACGCCAGCCAAACAUUUUUCAGAUCCCCACCAAUGGAGAGGUACCAACAUUGACAUAAAGCCAUCAUACAAAAUGGGUCAGUUCGUGAACAAAUCGCCACCAGCAUUGGGUCCCAGAAUUGUUAAGUUUGAAAUACACUACGACGGGUAGCCUUGGUCAAUGGCUAUUAUACUGACAAAGGAUUUCACUUAAGGUCCACUGAAUGUGCAACAGCCUGUCACCCCUCAAAGAAAAGGAUCAUACUGUAAUUUGUCAUAGAAAAUAAACAUUCAAUUGCUAGUCA